UGGACGGAGAGAUCCUGCAUGCGCUGUGAAGCGAGUGUGUUCUGUGGCGUAUCGGCACCUGGACAAGCACAAGAUCGAGCCGGUGCUCUACAUGAUGGAGUGGUUCAUGUGCGCCUUCUCCAGAACUCUGCCCUGGGCCUCGGUCCUCAGAGUGUGGGACAUGUUCCUGUGUGACGGUCAGACACAAACACACACUUGUCCUUCUUUUCUUUCUGUGUUGAUUCUCUCUCUCAUUAUUUCUUUGUGUAGGAGUGAAAAUGAUAUUCGUGUGGGUUUGGAGUUGUUGACGUCCAUGCUGGUACUCGGGAUAAGCUCAAGGCCUGUCCGGGUCAGUAUGAGACCAUGGAGGUCCUCAGAGCGAUUGAGCCCAGAUACAUGCAGGAGGGCUUCUUAGUGCUCCAGGUUCUGGAGUUGCAGGUAUCGGCACAGGACGUGGAACGUGAGCAACGCACGCAGCUGAAGCGCUGGAAGAAGAAGCACGGCGAGCCGGCGAGCCCGGCCCCAAACUCCCUCAGAGAAUGCACAGUGCUCGCGCCAUCAUGGCCACCGAGCCUCAUACACACCAAGACCUCCGCCAGAAACCCACCAUUAUGGUCCAGUACCCAUCGGUCCCUGAGGAGAAGUCCGAGCUGAACCUCAGGAAGAAGAGAGGGAGCCUGUAGAAAAACCAAGCCCUCAUUCCGAGCCCCUACGCGCUACCUGGCGAGUCUAAACCUAGUCAGAUAUUGGACAUACAGCUUCUGAACCAGGAAAAUCUCAAUCUUGUACUUCCAAAUCCACCAUCACAUCCACCACGGCUCCCUACAAUGCAGGAAAAUCAGGUCAAAGAAACAAGCACUUCUACAGAGCGACUCGUGCAUCAUCCUCGAAUUCCUCCAUCGAUAAGAAACCGGGGGAAUCUAUCCCUCUGCAACAUCUAUCCCUCCUUACUGCUCCUGUACACGGAUCACCUUCAGCGUAGCGUCCUCACCUGCUGAAAUGUGCUCCUGUCCAAUCCAGAGAACCUGACCAUGAUGAGCUCCCUAAUAAUACAGAAAACUCAGCCACCAUUUUGGAUCCAUCUACAGACUCAAGCCCUCUGCUAACGCACAACGCACCUGCCACCCACGACUCGCCUGCUGCUCCCGAGUACAAAAAGAACACUCAUUGAUUUUUUUUUUUUGUUGUUGUGCGUGUUAAACAGUGUGAUACGUUGAGGAAUUGAUUAUUGGCACACGUCUACUGAAUAGCAAGGAUCGUUAAGUCUUUAACGUGUUAUAGUUUACACCGGAGGAACUGCAAACAAUCUGAGAGAGGACCACAC
ensembl:lncRNA